UAUAAAUACUUGUUCAUUUGUGCUUAUGACUGACAUACCGCGGGCCAGACGGGAAUGCCCAAAGGGCCGUAUGUGGCCCGCGGGCCGUAAAAUGCCCAGGUCUGAUUUAAAGAGUUCGGGAGAUAGGAGAAGAAGGCGUGAACCGUGUAAUCUCCCUUGUCAGAUACGCUGUCAACAUUACUAAAUUUAAUUGGACAAGAACGCUAUCUGUCACACAUACUGCAUCCUGAUUGGUCCAACUGAUAUAAAGGACGGAAUGCCAAGAGCACAGAAGCAAACACAGAAGAUCGAUAUGAGAAAGAAAACAAACCAAAAAAAAAAAAAGAAAAAAGGGUACGUCAAGUCUCUACUAAAUCUUAUCUUAUAACACUUGUAUGCAUAUAUUUGCGCCUGAAAGCUUUGGCAGAUCCAUAGGUUCGUACCAGCUGCUACACGCUAGCCCAGCUAACAACUUCUCUCAACUUCUGUUGGCUUUCUCUUAACUUUUGAUUUCUCUUGCUCUAAAACGUAUUUUUUAGCGAUGUCUGUCAAGAUGGCCGAUUUACAUUUCCUACCGUUUUCUCUUGUGUUCUUUCGUGGUCCUGCUCUGGGCUGAGGUGUGACGGUCUCUGGUGAGAACUCAGCUUGCACUGGAGGAACUGCAGAAGAUUCAGAUGUCUCAGUCUGCACUGAGAGAACUGGUGGUGGCGGCCGGCCUGUCCAAAGACAUCACAAAACUAAAUCAAAACUAUGAUGGACCGACCAGAUUUAGCCCAACAGACCAGGACACAAGCAUGACAAUAAAAGGAUAGAACCUCGUUUUCCAUCACCAGUCCUGUAAGGAGCAAUUCUCCAUCUGGGUCCAAAUCUGCAUAUGCCAGCCUGAUCUGCUCCCUGGCCCUGUGCAGUGACUCUAGCCCUCUCUCACUUUCUGCCACUGAAAUAGAAAAAUGUAGAAUGUGUCACCUCAGACUGAUCUGAAAUCUGAAAAGUCUUUCCAGGACAUUUCAUUUUAAUAUUAUCCAAUAUCUAUCCCACAGAAAAAGAAAGUCUGAAAGUUUGUACUGUAACACUAUUACUCUGCAGGUCAUUAUGUCAUCAAUAUUGCACACACGCCACACGCACAGAGCUGGAGCAACAGAGAUUGCUUGUCACUUUUUUGUUGGUACGUUU